UAGAUCCUGAAACCGCAUGCAUACAAGCAGUGGGAGCACCUUCGUGGUGUGACUGCGUACCUUUUGUAUAAUGGGUCAGCGACUUAUAUUCAGUAGCGAGGUUAACCGUAUAGGGGAGCCGUAGAGAAAUCGAGUCUUAAUAGGGCGUUUAGUUGCUGGGUAUAGACCCGAAACCAGGCGAUCUAUCCAUGAGCAGGUUGAAGGUUGGGUAACACUAACUGGAGGACCGAACCCACUGUCGUUGAAAAGCCAGGGGAUGACUUGUGGAUAGGGGUGAAAGGCUAAUCAAGCCUGGUGAUAGCUGGUUCUCCCCGAAAGCUAUUUAGGUAGCGCCUCGGACGAAUACCAUAGGGGGUAGAGCACUGUUUCGGCUAGGGGGUCAUCCCGACUUACCAAACCGAUGCAAACUCCGAAUACCUAUGAGUACUAUCCGGGAGACAGACUGCGGGUGCUAACGUCCGUAGUCAAGAGGAAAACAAUCCAGACCGCCAGCUAAGGCCCCAAAAUCAUAGUUAAGUGGGAAACGAUGUGGGAAGGCAUAGACAGCUAGGAGGUUGGCUUAGAAGCAGCCACCCUUUAAAGAAAGCGUAAUAGCUCACUAGUCGAGUCGGCCUGCGCGGAAGAUGUAACGGGGCUAAAACUAUGUGCCGAAGCUGCGGAUGUAUACUUUGUAUACGUGGUAGGGGAGCGUUCUGUAAGCCGAUGAAGGUGUGUUGAGAAGCAUGCUGGAGGUAUCAGAAGUGCGAAUGCUGACGUGAGUAACGACAAAACGGGUGAAAAACCCGUUCGCCGAAAGACCAAGGGUUCCAGUCCAACGUUAAUCGGGGCUGGGUGAGUCGACCCCUAAGGCGAGGCCGAAAGGCGUAGUCGAUGGGAAAAUGGUUAAUAUUCCAUUACUUCUGUGUAAUGCGAUGAGAGGACGGAGAAGGCUAAAUCAGCCUGGCGUUGGUUGUCCAGGUGAAAGGAUGUAGGCAUGUAUCUUAGGCAAAUCCGGGGUACUCUAUGCUGAGAUCUGAUAGCAAGCUGUACUUGUACAGCGAAGUGGUUGAUGCCAUGCUUCCAGGAAAAGUCUCUAAGCUUCAGUUACACAGGAAUCGUACCCGAAACCGACACAGGUGGUCAGGUCGAGUAGACCAAGGCGCUUGAGAGAACUCUGCUGAAGGAACUAGGCAAAAUGGUACCGUAACUUCGGGAGAAGGUACGCUGUUGUUGGUGAUGGAACUCGCUUCCUGAGCUGACGACAGCCGCAGAAACCAGGCCGCUGCAACUGUUUAUUAAAAACAUAGCACUCUGCAAACACGAAAGUGGACGUAUAGGGUGUGAUGCCUGCCCGGUGCUGGAAGGUUAAUUGAUGGGGUUAGCGUAAGCGAAGCUCUUGAUCGAAGCCCCAGUAAACGGCGGCCGUAACUAUAACGGUCCUAAGGUAGCGAAAUUCCUUGUCGGGUAAGUUCCGACCUGCACGAAUGGCAUAAUGAUGGCGGCGCUGUCUCCAGCAGAGGCUCAGUGAAAUCGAAAUCGCUGUGAAGAUGCAGUGUACCCGCGGCUAGACGGAAAGACCCCGUGAACCUUUACUGCAGCUUGACACUGAACUUUGACCUUACUUGUGUAGGAUAGGUGGGAGGCUUUGAAGCUGGAACGCUAGUUCCAGUGGAGCCGUCCUUGAAAUACCACCCUGGUAAUGUUGAGGUUCUAACUCUGUCCCGUGAUCCGGGACGAGGACCGUGUCUGGUGGGUAGUUUGACUGGGGCGGUCUCCUCCUAAAGAGUAACGGAGGAGUACGAAGGUGCGCUCAGCGUGGUCGGAAAUCACGCGUAGAGUAUAAAGGCAAAAGCGCGCUUAACUGCGAGACCCACAAGUCGAGCAGGUACGAAAGUAGGUCUUAGUGAUCCGGUGGUUCUGUAUGGAAGGGCCAUCGCUCAACGGAUAAAAGGUACUCUGGGGAUAACAGGCUGAUACCGCCCAAGAGUUCAUAUCGACGGCGGUGUUUGGCACCUCGAUGUCGGCUCAUCUCAUCCUGGGGCUGAAGCAGGUCCCAAGGGUAUGGCUGUUCGCCAUUUAAAGAGGUACGCGAGCUGGGUUUAGAACGUCGUGAGACAGUUCGGUCCCUAUCUACCGUGGGCGCUGGAAAUUUGAGAGGAUCUGCUCCUAGUACGAGAGGACCAGAGUGGACGAACCUCUGGUGUACCGGUUGUGACGCCAGUCGCAUCGCCGGGUAGCUAUGUUCGGAAGGGAUAACCGCUGAAAGCAUCUAAGCGGGAAGCCUACCUCAAGAUAAGAUUUCCCUAGGACUUUAUGUCCUCUAAAGAGCCGUUCGAGACUAGGACGUUGAUAGGUUGGAUGUGGAAGCAUAGUGAUAUGUGAAGCUGACCAAUACUAAUUGCUCGUGAGGCUUGACUAU
rnacentral:rRNA from 1 species